AGGGCCGUAGCUCAGCUGGUAGAGCACUGUCCCUCGCCGUCCCUUCGCCCGCUUCCCGCGGGCCGCAGGUGAAGGGUUAUCGACUGUUAAUCGAGUGGUCGCGGGUUCGAGUCCCGCCGGUCCUU
rnacentral:tRNA from 1 species